rnacentral:rRNA from 1 species
UGAGGAAUAUUGGUCAAUGGACGAGAGUCUGAACCAGCCAAGUAGCGUGCAGGAUGACGGCCCUAUGGGUUGUAAACUGCUUUUGUUUGGGAAUAAUCGACAUUACGUGUAAUGUUUUGCAUGUACCAUUCGAAUAAGGACCGGCUAAUUCCGUGCCAGCAGCCGCGGUAAUACGGAAGGUCCAGGCGUUAUCCGGAUUUAUUGGGUUUAAAGGGAGUGUAGGCGGUUGGUUAAGCGUGUUGUGAAAUGUAAGAGCUCAACUUUUAGAUUGCAGCGCGAACUGGCAGACUUGAGUGCGCACAACGUAGGCGGAAUUCAUGGUGUAGCGGUGAAAUGCUUAGAUAUCAUGACGAACUCCGAUUGCGAAGGCAGCUUACGGGAGCGCAACUGACGCUAAAGCUCGAAGGUGCGGGUAUCGAACAGG